rnacentral:lncRNA from 1 species
GCACUUUAAAUGAAACAGGCCAUAAUGUAGUGAACUAUUAUUAAAAGGGUCAACUGCCAACUUAUAGAUGUAUAAAACUGCAAGCAGAAUAUAGGACCUUAGUUUUUAUUUUCAAACAGAGGACACUUUGGCUCACAAACUUUCUUUACAAUCCAUGUGAAAGAUAAAAACUUAUAUGUUUAACGUAAAAAAUAGAAAGCAUUAACCCUUGGUUCCAAACGAAUAUAAAUUUGACUUUUAAGAUCAAACAUACUAACUAUUAACUUUGAAUUACUACAAAAUAUUAA